rnacentral:rRNA from 1 species
AUUGAACGCUGGCGGCAUGCUUUACACAUGCAAGUCGAACGGUAACAGGCCUUCGGGUGCUGACGAGUGGCGAACGGGUGAGUAAUGCAUCGGAACGUGCCUAGAGGUGGGGGAUAACGCAGCGAAAGCUGUGCUAAUACCGCAUGUGAUCUGAGGAUGAAAGCGGGGGACCAAGCAGCAAUGUUUGGCCUCGCGCCUCUGGAGCGGCCGAUGUCAGAUUAGGUAGUUGGUGGGGUAAAGGCCUACCAAGCCGACGAUCUGUAGCUGGUCUGAGAGGACGACCAGCCACACUGGGACUGAGACACGGCCCAGACUCCUACGGGAGGCAGCAGUGGGGAAUUUUGGACAAUGGGCGCAAGCCUGAUCCAGCAAUGCCGCGUGCGGGAAGAAGGCCUUCGGGUUGUAAACCGCUUUUGUACGGAACGAAAAGGCUCUGGCUAAUACCUGGGGCUGAUGACGGUACCGUAAGAAUAAGCACCGGCUAACUACGUG